GACGAACCGUGCGAACGUUAUUCGGAAUCACUGGGCUUAAAGCGCGUGUAGGCGGGUCGCCACGUCGGGCGCUGAAAUCCCCCGACUCAACCGGGGAACGGGCACCGAUACGAGCGGCCUGGAGGGGAGUAGGGGGACCUGGAACUUCCGGUGGAGCGGUGAAAUGCGUUGAGAUCGGAAGGAACGCCCGUGGCGAAAGCGAGGUCCUGGGCUCCUGCUGACGCUGGGACGCGAAAGCCAGGGGAGCGAACGGG
rnacentral:rRNA from 1 species